rnacentral:rRNA from 1 species
AACGAACGCUGGCGGCGCGCCUAAUACAUGCAAGUCGAGCGAGAAGACGUAGCAAUACGUUUGUAAAGCGGCGAACGGGUGAGGAAUACAUGGGUAACCUACCCUCGAGUGGGGAAGUAACUAGCCGAAAGGUUAGCUAAUACCGCGUACGCUCCUCGGACUUCGGUUCAGGAGGAAAGACGAUACCGUGGGUAUCGCGCUCUUGGAUGGGCGUCAUGUCCUAUCAGCUUGUUGGUGAGGUAACGGCUCACCAAGGCUUCGACGGGUAGCUGGUCUGAGAGGACGGAUCAGCCACACUGGCACUGCGACACGGGCCAGACUCCUA